AAAUUAGUCAGCAUCAGCUGGGCUGCUGUAACAAACAACCCCAAAUCUCAUAAACAAACGUUAGUUUUCACCCCUCUGAAGUCCACUGUGGGCCUAGGCAGCUAUGGUCCAUGUGGUGACUCAGUGAUCCAGGCUUUUAAAAUUGUGUGCUUCUGCACUGCAAUUUGAGGACGCCUCAUUUGCUGUGUCAGGGGAGGAGAGAGAUUGGAAAACCUCAUGGGGACUGUACACUUCCUUGGCCUGAAGCGAUGCUCAUCACUUCCAUUCACAAAGCCAGUCAUAUGCCCCUUUAGCUGGAAGAGGG
rnacentral:lncRNA from 1 species